GAUGAACGCUAGCGGCAGGCUUAACACAUGCAAGUCGAGGGGUAGGGUAGCAAUACCUGAGACCGGCGCACGGGUGCGUAACGCGUAUGCAACCUACCUUUUACAGGGGGAUAGCCCAGAGAAAUUUGGAUUAAUACCCCAUGGUAUAAUCGGAUGGCAUCAUUUGAUUAUUAAAGUUCCAACGGUAGAAGAUGGGCAUGCGUCCUAUUAGCUAGAUGGUAAGGUAACGGCUUACCAUGGCUACGAUAGGUAGGGGUCCUGAGAGGGAGAUCCCCCACACUGGUACUGAGACACGGACCAGACUCCUACGGGAGGCAGCAGUGAGGAAUAUUGGACAAUGGGCGCAAGCCUGAUCCAGCCAUGCCGCGUGCAGGAAGAAGCAUCUAUGGUGUGUAAACUGCUUUUGUACGGGAAGAAACACCCCUUCGUGAAGGGACUUGACGGUACCGUAAGAAUAAGGAUCGGCUAACUCCGUGCCAGCCGCCGCAGUAAAAC
rnacentral:rRNA from 1 species